UACAGAGGUCCCAAGCGUUGUUCGGAUUCAUUGGGCGUAAAGGGUGCGUAGGCGGAUGGCACAGUCAGAUGUGAAAUUCCCGGGCUUAACCUGGGGGCUGCAUUUGAUACGUGUUGUCUUGAGUUCGGAAGAGGGUCGUGGAAUUCCCAGUGUAGAGGUGAAAUUCGUAGAUAUUGGGAAGAACACCGGUGGCGAAGGCGGCGACCUGGUCCGACACUGACGCUGAGGCGCGAAAGCGUGGGGAGCAAACAGG
rnacentral:rRNA from 1 species